rnacentral:rRNA from 1 species
UACAGAGGUCCCGAGCGUUGUUCGGAUUCACUGGGCGUAAAGGGUGCGUAGGCGGCUUUAUAAGUCGGGGGUGAAAGCCUGUGGCUCAACCACAGAAUUGCCUUCGAUACUGUAGAGCUUGAGACCGGAAGAGGUAAGUGGAACUGCGAGUGUAGAGGUGAAAUUCGUAGAUAUUCGCAAGAACACCAGUGGCGAAGGCGGCUUACUGGUCCGGUUCUGACGCUGAGGCGCGAAAGCGUGGGGAGCAAACAGG